rfam:Picea glauca, whole genome shotgun sequence.
AAGUACAUCCAUACAUCAUAGCAUUAAUGCACUAGAUCCCAUUAGAACUCUGUAGUUAAGCGUGCUUGGGAUAGAAUAGUACUUGGAUGGGUGACAUUCUAGGAAGUCCCAAUGUUUUACAUG